UUAGGAAUCUUCCACAAUGGGCGAAAGCCUGAUGGAGCGACGCCGCGUGAGGGAUGAAGGCCUUAGGGUUGUAAACCUCUAAAAGAGGGACGAUAAUGACGGUACCUCUUGAAUAGCACCGGCUAACUCCGUGCCAGCAGCCGCGGUAAUACGGAGGGUGCAAGCGUUAUCCGGAAUCACUGGGCGUAAAGGGCGCGUAGGCGGUCUGUUAAGUCCGAUGUUAAAUCCCGGGGCUCAACCCCGGAUAAGCGUUGGAUACUGGCAGGCUAGACGGUUGGAGAGGCGAGUGGAAUUACCAGUGUAGCGGUGGAAUGCGUAGAUACUGGUAGGAACACCCAUUGCGAAGGCAGCUCGCUGGACAACACGUGACGCUGAGGCGCGAAAGUGUGGGGAGCAAACC
rnacentral:rRNA from 1 species